CGGACGGGUGAGUAAUGUCUGGGAAACUGCCAGUGGAGGGGGAUAACUACUGGAAACGGUAGCUAAUACCGCAUAACGUCGCAAGACCAAAGAGGGGGACCUUCGGGCCUCUUGCCAUCGGAUGUGCCCAGAUGGGAUUAGCUAGUAGGUGGGGUAACGGCUCACCUAGGCGACGAUCCCUAGCUGGUCUGAGAGGAUGACCAGCCACACUGGAACUGAGACACGGUCCAG
rnacentral:rRNA from 1 species